AUGGCUUCUUCUGAGAAGGUUAGAGUGAAUAUAGUUUUUCUGUUUGUGAUUAUCUUGUCAAUGAAAGGAGCAGCAAGGGGGCCACUAUGGAAAACUGAGACUCAUCACAAAACAUAUGGACACAUACUUUAUAUAGAUGAUGAUGAUCCUCGCAAUCACAACUUCUUUCCCAAAAUAUCUCCUCCACCUCCUCCUCUAAGUGAAGGCUAA